GGCCCGUUCGUCUAUCGGUUAGGACCUCAGAUUUUCAUUCUGGUAAGAGGGGUUCGAUUCCCUACGGGCUAC
rnacentral:tRNA from 1 species